rnacentral:rRNA from 1 species
UUUGCUCCCCACGCUUUCGUGCCUCAGUGUCAGUGCUGGUCCAGGUAGUCGCCUUCGCCACUGGUGUUCCUCCCGAUCUCUACGCAUUUCACUGCUACACCGGGAAUUCCACUACCCUCUACCGCACUCUAGCCUGCCAGUAUCCAAUGCAAUUCCCAGGUUGAGCCCAGGGCUUUCACAUCAGACUUAACGGACCACCUACGCACGCUUUACGCCCAGUAAUUCCGAGUAACGCUUGCACCCUUCGUAUUACCGCGGCUGCUGGCACGAAGUUAGCCGGUGCUUAUUCUUCCGGUACCGUCAGGACCCCGGGGUAUUAACCCGAAGCUUUUCUUUCCGGACAAAAGGGCUUUACAACCCGAAGGCCUUCUUCACCCACGCGGCAUGGCUGGAUCAGGCUUGCGCCCAUUGUCCAAUAUUCCCCACUGCUGCCUCCCGUAGGAGUCUGGACCGUGUCUCAGUUCCAGUGUGGCUGAUCAUCCUCUCAGACCAGCUACGGAUCGUCGCCUUGGUGGGCCUUUACCCCGCCAACUAGCUAAUCCGACAUGGGCUCAUCCAAUCGCGCGACGCCUUGCGGUCCGCCGCUUUCACCUCUCGGUCGUAUGCGGUAUUAGCGUAAGUUUCCCUACGUUAUCCCCCACGACAGGGUAGAUUCCCAUGUAUUCCUCACCCGUCCGCCACUCGCCACCCAGGGAGCAAGCUCCCCUGUGCUGCCGUUCGACUUGCAUGUGUUAGGCCUGCCGCCAGCGUUCACUCUGAGCCAGGAUCAAACUC